UCCCGUAUGGAUCACCGUUGGAGGAUUUCUACUUUAGAGUCUUAUGGAGAUCUCUCUAUUACCAGAUCCUUAUCUUCAUAUUUGGUAUAUGACUUCUAAUCUCUUAUUAAUCUAAUUGCUAAUAUUGUUUGAUUGUAAUCAUCAAAGAGUUCCCAGAGUUUUAUGUUUCGGUAGUCAUAUUUAAUUGUUAAACUUAUUUUCAAUAGUUG
rnacentral:lncRNA from 1 species